ACAUNACUUAAACGGCUUGACGAGGAGGAUGCCAAAGCUGCUAUUGCCAUAUCAGUAUCUGAAGUUACUCUGACACCGGAGAUUGAUGAGUUGUCAAAGCAAAUCAAGGAGAAGUUGAAAGAAGCUGAUGUAUAUGAUCUUGAAGGCAAGACAGAUAUGAAAAUUCGAGCUCUGGAAGAGGUUGAAGAACUCAGAACUAAGAGAGCAGACAAACAGUCAAUGCUCCUUUUGGAUGCAUUUAACAAAGAUCGAGCAUCUUUACCUCAGCCACUUCAGAACGGUCCACAGUUAGCACCCUUGCCUGCAGCUGCUCCAGAUCCUCGCAUACAAGAAAUNCAACACCCAUUACUUAUUUAAAAAAGUGAUCUAGGUGAGCAAGGAAUGGUUGAUGAAGCUCAGAAAGCAUUGGAAGAGGCGGAAGCUCUUAAGAAGCUGCCUGUGAGGCAAGACCCUGGUCAGGAUUCCUCAAAGUACACUGCAGUUGAUGUGCGGAUUACUGAUCAAAAGCUCCGUGUGUGCGACAUCUGUGGAGCCUUUUUAAGUGUUUAUGACAGUGACCGUCGCUUAGCUGAUCAUUUUGGAGGAAAGCUUCAUUUGGGUUAUAUGCAAAUCCGUGAGAAAUUAGCUGAACUUCAGGAAGAAAGAAACAAGAAGCGGAAGGCCAUAGAAGAAGAUAGGAGAUCUAAAGAAAGAAAAAGCAGGGAACGUGAUAGAGAAUCAAGCAGGGACAGAGUUGAUAGCCGCGAAGCAGGGAGAGAUCACGAUCGCAGGAGUAAAGAUCGCAGCUAUGAUCGUGAGCGUGACAGAAAUAGAGACCGCUCUCGCAACUAUGAUUCAAGAAGUCAUAGGCGAUCACGUUCACGGUCAAGAGAACGGUCUAGGGAUUAUGAUCGCCACAGACGAUAUGAUCGUUACUAGGUGAAAGCUGCUGUGGCAUGGAGAGCUGGAAAAGUUGUGUCGUGACUUGUUGGAUGUUUGGUACUUUGUAGUAUCCAGGAGACGAUGCCAUAUGUAUUGCUGUCUUUAUUUGGUCAGUUUUUGAUUCUGCAGUGUUAGGUGAAAUUUGAGAUUGACCUUCAAAAUUACAUGUGCGUUUUAUGCACCAGCUAAAUUUUAUGACAAUGCAAGGUUUUGUAUUUUUGAUUGCC